rnacentral:pre_miRNA from 1 species
GGAAUAUAAAAAUCCGUCUUUUAACUUUUAACUAAAAAUAACUAAGAACCGGUUCUUAAAUAAGAUAUUUAAGAACCGGUUUAUAGCUCUUUUUAGUAAAAAUUAAGAGACGAGUUAUUAUAUUCC